AAACACCGGCCCUUUGAACCUUCUAUUUUAUUUAUUUUAUCAUUCAUUCAUUUCAUUCUUGGACAAACACUGGUUCUUUGAACCUUCACUUUUAUUUAUUUAUUCAUGCAUGCAUGCAUACACCCCUGUAGUGUGGCAUGUCGCUGGAAUAGUGUUUAUCAACUCUGGAUUGGGUCUGGAAAUCCAUUAAGUGAAGGGUCCCAGCGAGUGAUUUUUAACCCAACAGGAUAAAAUUCAAACAUCGGAGGGUAUUGCGCGGGAUACGACGGACUUAGCCUCAGGGUCCUUUCGUUUCCCUGUAUUUUACUCCGUGGCACAGAGUUGUGUGACCGUAUCGCAGCAUUUGGGUCGCUGUGUAACGCGUGUUUUUUUUUCCUGGGGUCUCCGGAUUUCGGUCUGUGUGCCGGGGUGAGAGUGGACUCCGACUCUAUCUCCAUUGUUUAAGCAGCAACGAGAGGCUAGUUAUGUUUGAUUGUCCAAGACUGUUUCCUCAUCAGCAGACGAGAGAUACCAUAAAAUUUAUUUCAAAAGGUUUAGAAAAUUAAAAGAGAGAUGAAUGGAAAGCAUCCGUCGUACUUAAAUGUUGACUAGUUAAAUGUUAAGUGGUAUUAAUAUUGACCGUAAAGGGAGCUGACAUCGCCCUCAGGACUGCAGAACAGGGCACCUGGGGGGCUCAGCAGUUGAGCACCUGCAUUCAGCCCAGGGCCUGAUCCUGGAGUCCCGGGAUCGAGUCCCACGUCGGGCUCCCUGCAUGGAGCCUGCUUCUCCCUCUGCCUGUGUCUCUCUGCCUGUGUCUCUCUCUGUCUUUCAUGAAUAAAUAAGUAAAACCUUUAAAAAAAAUAACGAAAAGUGCAGAUCAGAUCCUGGGCGUGUAGAGCAUGUUUGCGUGUCGCGAAGCAGAAGAGGACGGCUGUGUUCUUACAUUGUGUUCCUUUCGUAGUUGCACACGAGUGAGUCAACGACGGUUACGAUGGGGUCGUCUUAAUCUUCAGCUCAGUGGACUGAAACAGAGCUCCCUCGAUGACUUCCUCGCCACUGCAGAACUUGCUGGAACAGAAUUUGUAGCUGAUCAAUGAUGGAUUUUGAGGAGGAAUGACCAGUUACUUCAGCCCAGCAGGAGAAGCAAACCAGAUUGGAAUAACACCAGUAGAAGAAUGGCAAAGAAUCAGAACAAGGUUAAUAGGGAGAUAGAAUAACGAGACGUCCUAGAAGGGGGCGGGGGAGUGGGGAGUGGGAGAGCCAUCACUGAAGGAGAGAGAAAAGGUCAUAGAAAAAGGUAAGGAGGUAGAGUUAUGACCAUGCUGUAUUCUUUUGAGAUGUUUGUGGCAGGGAGAGGCU
rnacentral:lncRNA from 1 species